rnacentral:rRNA from 1 species
GCGUAAAGGGCUCGCAGGCGGUUUCUUAAGUCUGAUGUGAAAGCCCCCGGCUCAACCGGGGAGGGUCAUUGGAAACUGGGAAACUUGAGUGCAGAAGAGGAGAGUGGAAUUCCACGUGUAGCGGUGAAAUGCGUAGAGAUGUGGAGGAACACCAGUGGCGAAGGCGACUCUCUGGUCUGUAACUGACGCUGAGGAGCGAAAGCGUGGGGAGCGAACAGGAUUAGAUACCCUGGUAGUCCACGCCGUAAACGAUGAGUGCUAAGUGUUAGGGGGUUUCCGCCCCUUAGUGCUGCAGCUAACGCAUUAAGCACUCCGCCUGGGGAGUACGGUCGCAAGACUGAAACUCAAAGGAAUUGACGGGGGCCCGCACAAGCGGUGGAGCAUGUGGUUUAAUUCGAAGCAACGCGAAGAACCUUACCAGGUCUUGACAUCCUCUGACAACCCUAGAGAUAGGGCUUUCCCUUCGGGGACAGAGUGACAGGUGGUGCAUGGUUGUCGUCAGCUCGUGUCGUGAGAUGUUGGGUUAAGUCCCGCAACGAGCGCAACCCUUGAUCUUAGUUGCCAGCAUUCAGUUGGGCACUCUAAGGUGACUGCCGGUGACAAACCGGAGGAAGGUGGGGAUGACGU